CAGUCGCCGCGGUAACACGGAGGGGGCUAGCGUUGUUCGGAAUUACUGGGCGUAAAGCGCACGUAGGCGGCUUGGUAAGUUAGAGGUGAAAGCCCGGAGCUCAACUCCGGAAUUGCCUUUAAGACUGCCGAGCUAGUAGGUGAGAGAGGUAAGUGGAAUUCCGAGUGUAGAGGUGAAAUUCGUAGAUAUUCGGAAGAACACCAGUGGCGAAGGCGGCUUACUGGCUCAUUCUAGACGCUGAGGUGCGAAAGCGUGGGGAGCAAACAGGAUUAGAUACCCCAGUAGUCCCUGUCUCUUAUAC
rnacentral:rRNA from 1 species